rnacentral:lncRNA from 1 species
CCUCACUUUCGAGCAGGUUUGGAAAGACAAGAUUCGAAAGAGAAUUCCCAUCUGUUAUUGGAGCAUUUAAUCAUUCUCUAAAAGGCAGCGCAGUUUUAUUUUCUCUGGGGAGCGAGCAGCAUUAGCUGAGGCAUAAAGCAAACUCCACCAAGUGUAGAAAAAACUCACCCUGAUGUCCUGUUUGACAAACUGACCUGCGGGUCACAACCUGAGUUUAUUGAUCCGUGGGGCCUUGUCUGGGCGCCGGGCAUGUUUUCUGGACUUUGGUUUCAGCUGCAUUCCUCACUUCUCAAAAGAGGGGGUGUGGAUUUCUGCUAGGAGUAACCACUGGGAAGGAAGUAAUGUUCAUUAAGUGUGCAGGCAGUGCAGGAUGAAGCAUGCUCAGUGCAAAAAGCUUCGCUCUCCUGCCUGUCAAGCCUGAGGCUUGAACUCGUUCCAGAGCGCCGGAUUUACUUUUCAGGAAGAAACUCUACCUACCUGGGCUGCUUUUCUCCCUUCCCUCCUCCUCGGAGGAGUGCAAACAAUGUUCUUUUUGAUGCUUUCCUGCGAGUGGGAAUCUCGCCCUGGAGAAGGAGACAAAACUUUGGUACCUGUGAAACGAAGACUGCUUAGGUAGCAGUGGGAAUGAAAGCAAUUCCAUUUGCCACACAGGCUCCACAAAUGAGUAACUUCAGUGGGAUUUGUUCAUACAAAAGAGAAAAGAUCACCUGGAUUCUUCUGGAGCUGGGAGUCAGGGCCAGAAAUCUCCAGGAAAGACCUGCCCAAGGACCAAGAAGAGGAUCUCACCUCUCCAGAGCUCCAUCCCACCUGGAGCUCCAGCCCGGUGCUGGUGGCAGACUGAGGGAGGAGGAAUAAACCCCAACGUUUCAAAGCUCCGUGGAACACAGGGCUCUGCCAGGACUGGUGAAGUCUCUUUUGAGAAGCACACAGAAAAUCUGCCAUCCCAAAUCCAUCUCCUUCCCAGUGGCCAGCAGCCUGAGGAGGAGCUGUUUACAGGUGAGGUGUUCCGUCCUGUCACCUGGAGGGAUCAGCCUUUUGUUCCUUGUGCCAGCUGGGAAUUCAACUGAGAAUGAAGAGCUCAGAAACUUUUAAACUCGGAUUUAUUGGUAUAAUAUUUGUUUGUGUGAUGUAUCACACAACCCAUUGCUGCCAC